CGGAUGUAGCUCAGUGGUAGAGCGCAACCUUGCCAAGGUUGAUGUCGUGGGUUCGAGUCCCAUCAUCCG
rnacentral:tRNA from 1 species